UACGGAAUGUGCAAACGUUAUUCGGAAUCACUGGGCUUAAAGAGUCCGUAGGCGGCAUGUUAGGUGAGGUGUGAAAUCCCCCGGUUCAACCGAGGAAUUGCGCUUCAAACCGGCGUGCUUGAGGAAGAUAGAGGUGGGCGGAACUGAUGGUGGAGCGGUGAAAUGCGUUGAUAUCGGGAGGAACACCAGUGGCGAAGGCGACUACCUGGCCUGUUCUUGACGCUGAGGCGCGAAAGCUAGGGGAGCAAACGGG
rnacentral:rRNA from 1 species